UACGUAGGGUGCAAGCGUUGUCCGGAAUUAUUGGGCGUAAAGAGCUCGUAGGCGGUGUGUCACGUCGGCCGUGGAAACCUGCAGCUUAACUGUGGGCGUGCGGUCGAUACGGGCAUCACUGGAGUUCGGCAGGGGAGACUGGAAUUCCUGGUGUAGCGGUGAAAUGCGCAGAUAUCAGGAGGAACACCGGUGGCGAAGGCGGGUCUCUGGGCCGAUACUGACGCUGAGGAGCGAAAGCGUGGGGAGCAAACAGG
rnacentral:rRNA from 1 species